rnacentral:rRNA from 1 species
UACGGGGGGAGCAAGCGUUGUUCGGAUUUACUGGGCGUAAAGGGCGCGUAGGCGGCCUUCUAAGUCGAACGUGAAGUCUCCGGGCUCAACCCGGGAACUGCGUCCGAUACUGGAAGGCUUGAAUCCGGGAGAGGGAUGCGGAAUUCCAGGUGUAGCGGUGAAAUGCGUAGAUAUCUGGAGGAAUACCGGUGGCGAAGGCGGCAUCCUGGACCGACAUUGACGCUGAUGAGCGAAAGCUAGGGGAGCAAACGGG